rnacentral:rRNA from 1 species
GAGAGACGCUGGCGGCGUGGAUUAGGCAUGCAAGUCGAACGGUAGGAUACCUUCGGGUAUCUGAGAGUGGCGAACGGGUGAGUAACACGUAGGUGAUCUACCCUCAAGAUUGGGACAACCCAGGGAAACUUGGGCUAAUACCGGAUGAAAGCAGCAGUGAUGUUGUUUGAAAGGUGGCGUAAGCUGCCGUUUGGGGAUGAGCCUGCGCUCUAUUAGUUAGUUGGCGGGGUAAAGGCCCACCAAGGCGAUGAUAGAUAGGCGGCCUUAACGGGUGGUCGCCCACACUGGGAUUGAGAUACGGCCCAGACUCCUACGGGAGGCAGCAGUCGAGAAUAGUCUACAAUGGCCGAAAGGCUGAUAGUGCGACGCCGCGUGAACGAAGAAGCCCUUCGGGGUGUUAAAGUUCUUUUAUAUGUGAGCAGUGCUUUCUAUGUGAACAGCAUGGGGAGAGAGAUAUUAGCAUAUGAAUAAGCAACGGCUAACUCCGUG